rnacentral:lncRNA from 1 species
CAAGUUCAUCCCAUAGACCUUUGAGUCUAUUAAAAUAGGAUGCUAUAUCUAAGGACCCUUGAGAGGUGUUGGACAGCUCUCUUUUUAAUUCAAAAAUUUUGGUCCUAUUGGCAAUACCAUAUCGUGCCUGAAGUUGUGACCAUAUGCUUUCAGCAGUAUCAGAAUAAUGCACGGACUCAGCAAUCGCAGUAGAAAUAGAAGC